rnacentral:lncRNA from 1 species
CUUUUGUUCUUGUUGCUCUGGCUUAUAAAUCCAGUCUUUGAGGUUUAACUAUUGCUCACCCAGACCUUAUUCUGGGUGUAGAAGGUACAAUGGAGUGUGUCGGAGUGGUGAAGACACUUGAAUCUUCUCCUGCGUAGCGUUGUUGUCCUCAGGUCCAUCCAUAGGGAUGAGGUGAUGUCUGUUCCUGCGGACAUACCCGUGGGGAACUUCCACCAUGUAAGAUCGUGGUGCUGCAUGUUCCCUCAGCACUGUUCCUGGGACUUUUGAGUCAGUCAUCCACUGCUGUGUUCCAGAGCCCAGGACCUGUCAUCCAGUGAAGAUAUAACAGUUCAGGUUGACAAGGAGGUCUGCCACCAGAUGAGCUCUGUCUUCAAGGAGCUUAUCGCUCGACAAUCAUUCCCUCCUCCAUCCUCCUCCACCCCCUCGGUCACCUCAUCCCGCUCUUCCCAACCUCCUCCAGAGCAAAAGAAAGGAGGGGUUGGGCGCAGAAGGGAAAGACCUGUUUAGAUCUGACCAACUGGACUGGUAAAAAGAGAGAGGGGACCAGAAUGAAUUAAUGGCUAGAUGGAUGAAUACAUGAAUGAGAGGGAAGGAAAGGAAGGAGAGAGACGAAAGAGACGAGAGACGAGAUGACACCGUGUAGGAUGACAGGUUGCGACAGCAGCCUUUGACAGUGGGAUUACAGAUGGCUGGGUUACAUGAACCGCAGUCAGUUCACUGUAGUGUAUGAGUCUGCUCAGACAGCAGCCUUCAUUGUGAAGCCUGUGAAUGGACAGUCACAGACAAAAGGGUUUGACUCCUACUGUGAAGACUUUUGUUAGUGUGUUUGAUACAACACACCCCAAUGACCCCCACUCUGAUUUUCACUGUAGGGCUGUGUCCCCAUUCUCCACACUUUUCCCAAAGUGUGCACUUGCACACUCCCCACCAUGGAUUUGAAAAGCAUUGGAUUGUAAUCAUUAACCUCUAUGGGCUAGGUGGGACGCAAGCGUCCCACCCGUGGUGCACUCCAUCAACAGCAGGUGCAUUUCAAGAGCGGCAAAUUUGAAUCCAAAUAAAUGUCAAAAUUCAAAUUUUUCAAAAAUACAACUAUUUUACACCCUUUGAAAGAUAAACAUCUCCUUAAUCUAACC